ACAGAGGGGGCAAGCGUUGCUAGGAAUCACUGGGCGUAAAGGGCGCGUAGGCGGGUCCGCAAGUCGAUCGUGAAAUCCUUCGGCUCAACUGAAGGGGGUCGGUCGAUACUGCGGGUCUUGAGGGAUGCAGAGGAGACUGGAAUUCCCGGUGUAGCGGUGAAAUGUGUAGAGAUCGGGAGGAACACCGGUGGCGAAGGCGGGUUGCUGGGCUGACACUGACGCUGAUGCGCGAAAGCUAGGGGAGCGAACGGGA
rnacentral:rRNA from 1 species